CCAGAAGAACCAUGGAUGUGAGGAGGAAUUUUUGACUCUGAUACAAUACAAGCAUUUAUGUUAUUGCUUCGUUUCUUUAAUGUACAUUUAUUUUUAUAGCUGUUUUAACCAAAAUAUCACUCCUUAACAAGUAUUUGGACAAACAUGCUUAGUGCAAUGAGGUUGGAAUGAAGAGCAGCUUGCAAACCGAAACCACUGGACCAGAAUACAGUAGAUCUGGUCUGGACCUAAACUCAGAGGUAAGGACUUUAGUUUUAUGAAUCUUGUCAUGGUGAAAUUCCACGCGCUGUCCAGCGUGUUUAAUGACUGCGGUUGAAAUUAACCUUUUGCUUCCGAUUUGUAGAUAAUCGGCCCAAGAUGGGGUCCUCGAAGAAGUGGCUUUGUGAGCUCAAUGGAGAUAUUUAGCCUAUCCCUAUCUGGUUCUUAAUUUGCCUUUGAUCUAUAUUAGAGUAUUCAACUUAAGUAUACAUACAUAUAGAUCCAAGUAACAUGUUUGCUGUGUUUGUUCCUAGUGAAAAUGGUUGGAAGGAAGUUUUUGGGAAGGAAGUAGAGUGGAAAAUACUGUUGUUCAUCUGUUUGGAACACCAUGGAAAAUAGAUGGGAGCUGGAUGAAUAGUAUCUGUGGGGGCCACAUAUUAGUUUUCCUGGCACAUGAGGCAGAAAACUGAGACAAGCAGAAAAAGGGGACCAUUUUACCAUUUGCCCAAGUUCAACUAAAGAGCAGAAUUUACAAUUUACGUUAAUUAACUUAAUUUCAACCAGAAUUUUCAAAUAAAUAAACUUACGACAAAUUUAUUUAUUACAAUUAAUUUUUUAUAUAAAGAAAAGUAUGUUAGUUUAUGUAAAUUUAUUACCAACUUAUUAUCAAUUAUAAACAUAUUUUAGUCCUUG
rnacentral:lncRNA from 1 species